AUACUUACCUGGCAGGCAAGACACCAUGAUGAUAAAGGUGGUUUUCCCAGGGUGAGGCUCAUCCAUUGUACUCCGGCUGUAUUGACUCCUGUGAUUUCCCCUAGUUUGUGAUAGUGGGGGACUGUUUUUGCACUUUCCCCUG
rnacentral:snRNA from 1 species